CGCAGCCGCGGUAAUUCCAGCUCCAAUAGCGUAUAUUAAAGUUGUUGCAGUUAAAAGCUCGUAGUUGAAUUUCGGGGUUAGUAGAUUGGUCGUGCCACUGGUAUGUACUGGUCUUACUGAUUCCUCCUUCCUGAUGAACCGUAAUGCCAUUAAUUUGGUGUUGCGGGGAGACUGGACUGUUACUUUGAAAAAUUAGAGUGUUUAAAGCAGGCUAACGCUUGAAUACAUUAGCAUGGGAUAAUGAAAUAGGACGUUCGAUCCUAUUUUGUUGGUUUCUAGGGUUGACGUAAUGAUUAAUAGGGAUAGUUGGGGGCAUUAGUAUUCAAUUGUCAGAGGUGAAAUUCUUGGAUUUAUUGAAGACUAACUACUGCGAAAGCAUUUUGCCAAGGAUGUUUUCAUUAAUCAAGAACGAAAGUUAGGGAUCGAAGACGAUCAGAUACCGUCGUAGUCUUAA
rnacentral:misc_RNA from 1 species